AGUGAACGCUGGCGGUAGGCCUAACACAUGCAAGUCGAACGGCAGCACAGUAAGAGCUUGCUCUUACGGGUGGCGAGUGGCGGACGGGUGAGGAAUACAUCGGAAUCUACUUUUUCGUGGGGGAUAACGUAGGGAAACUUACGCUAAUACCUCAUACGUCCUACGGGAGAAAGCAGGGGAUCUUGGGACUUUUGCCGACUCAAUUAGCCGAUGCCGGAUUAGCUAGUUGGGGGGGUAAGGGCCCACCAAGGCGACGAUGCGUAGCGGGUCUGAGAGGAUGAUCAGCCACACUGGAACUGAGACACGGUCCAGACUCCUACGGGAGGCAGCAGUGGGGAAUAUUGGGCAAUGGGCGCAAGCCUGACCCAGCAAUACCGCGUGGGUGAAGAAGGCCUUCGGGUUGUAAAGCCCUUUUGUUGGGAAAGAAAAGCUGCAGGUUAAUCCCCCGCUGUUCUGACGGUACCCAAAGAAUAAGCACCGGCUAACUUCGUG
rnacentral:rRNA from 1 species